rnacentral:rRNA from 1 species
GACGAAGGGGGCUAGCGUUGUUCGGAAUUACUGGGCGUAAAGCGCGUGUAGGCGGUUGCCCAAGUCGGGUGUGAAAGCCUUGAGCUCAACUCAAGAAAUGCACUCGGUACUGGGUGACUAGAGGACCGGAGAGGAUAGUGGAAUUCCCAGUGUAGUGGUGAAAUACGUAGAGAUUGGGAAGAACACCAGUGGCGAAGGCGGCUAUCUGGACGGUUUCUGACGCUGAGGAGCGAAAGCGUGGGGAGCAAACAGG